rnacentral:tRNA from 1 species
UAUUUUUAAUUGACAUAGACCAAGUCCUCUAGUAAAAU